GAUAAACGCUAGCGGCAGGCUUAACACAUGCAAGUCGAGGGGCAGCAUAGAUUGUAGCAAUACAAUUGGUGGCGACCGGCGCACGGGUGCGUAACGCGUAUGCAACCUACCCGUCACCGGGGGAUAAUCCGGAGAAAUCUGGUCUAAUACCCCAUAACAUAUGGAUCGGCAUCGGUUCAUGUUGAAAUUUUCGGAGGUGACGGAUGGGCAUGCGUAGCAUUAGCUUGUUGGUGAGGUAACGGCUCACCAAGGCGACAAUGCUUAGGGGGACUGAGAGGUUUUCCCCCCACACUGGUACUGAGACACGGACCAGACUCCUACGGGAGGCAGUAGUGAGGAAUAUUGGUCAAUGGGCGCAAGCCUGAACCAGCCAUGCCGCGUGCAGGAUGACGGCUCUAUGAGUUGUAAACUGCUUUUGUACGAGGGUAAAGUGGGUUACGUGUAACCUUUUGAAAGUAUCGUACGAAUAAGGAUCGGCUAACUCCGUGCCAGCAGCCGCCGUAA
rnacentral:rRNA from 1 species